rnacentral:lncRNA from 1 species
UAUAGUAUCCUUGUUUUAUUUUAUUUAUUUAUUUACUUUUUUUGUAGUCGGUUGGUGAUGCAUGGGGUGGCUUUGGAUGCCACGUGCACCCCCAUGCAUCCUUAUCUUGUGGCCUAUAUGGCUUUGAGAUGCAAAGGAAAAUUGUGAUUUACAAUUUCUCUCUCUCUCUAGUUUAAAAGAGAGAACUCGUGGAGGCUAUAGUGGAGCUUGGAGUGACGUCAACUUCGCGCCAGCGAGCCGUUGGAGCAUGCGUGCGUCGUGGUAGUGCCGUUGGGAGGCCGAGCAUGCGCGAAAAUUUCUUCUCCUAUCGAUUUCUCGCUAUUCUGAAUUAGCUUUUGAGGUGGGUUUAUCAUCGGAUUUAUACUCCUAUAGUCCCGUUGGUCGACAUAUAUAAUUAGUGUAUAUUCGUCGUUAUUGUUUUUAGCUCAAAUUCAUAGUUAUGCAUGUUUUAAACAUAUGAAUUGAAUUUGGAGCAUGUUAUUAAGUGUUAAUAAUUAUACAUGUUGGACUUGGAUAUGACAUAGGAGAAAACCAGCGUUCGAGACCUGUCAUAUGUUUAAACUACCUGAUUUAGCUCUAGGAGCCGUUGUAUUUUGUACUGUCGCAGUAUCCUUCUGGUGAGUACCCCAGGUAGUUUAGAUUACUGUUACGCUCGUGUUGAGACGCCGAGCCGAUUUUUACAGUAGUGUUUAUAUUGUUCCGGACUAGUGGGUGCCGUGGUGGUUGACGGCGAACCCGGAUUUGAUUGCUUUGAUAUCAGAUUUUGCCGAGAGUACGUGACUAGUUGGUUGGUAGUCCAGUUGGACCUGUUUACUUGACUUUAGCCUGUGAGAGGCUGGUUGAGCUCGGCAGAGAUACGCUUGCAUACUCGGUUGGGUUGCGCCCACGAGUGCCGCUCCGGAGUCUGGCUUUGUGUUUUCGCGUUGAUGUCACUGACUAGUUUUGCUAUCCACGGACUAUUUUGCGUGGAGGUAGCGUGGCUUAGACAGGCGGGACGGGUGCGUUCACAGUCCCCGGGACGGGUGUAUCACAGUCCCUGAAUAGAUUUGGUCAGCAUUAAUAUUUUUACUACAGAUAAUUAGAGUAGAGCAUGAUAGUAUAGUGAUAUUUAGCUAUAGAUGUUUCCAGCUUUCCUACUAUCCCAGCUCCUUUCUGUAGACUUAGUGGGUGGACCGAUGAUGUUGAGGGCGGUACCCACUGAGGACUACUUAUUUUUACAGUAGUUCUCACGCCCAGUUGUUACCACUGUUUUGCAGAGCCACCAGUUGUUACCACUAUUUUACAGAGCCACCGGUUUCAGUUGCUGCGCCUUCCGAGGCUGAUCGAGGCAAGGGCGUCGCGAGUUAGAGCCCUACCCGACUAGUUGCUGAGAUAGAGGAUCCACCACUGCAGGUAGUUUCGGUUUAUUUUGUUGAGUUCAUGUACAUACAGUUGUUAUAGCUCGCUGAAGCGAGUACCUUUGUAUAGCGUUUUGUUGUAUGUAUGUGAGACUUGUUUUAUUCUACCUGUUUGGUUUCUUUACAGCUCUAUACUACUGGUUGUAGUAUUGUAUAUUUUCAGUUACCGACACGCUUCGUAUAUAAGAAAAAUUCUUUGUAUACGGCGGAUUUGUCGACGUGCCCGGGAAUUGUCUAAUCUGGGGCGUGACAGAUUAAGUUGGUAUCAGAGCUUAGCAUUAGGUCGUUGGGACCUAAAAAAUCUAAGUUUGGCAAAACUUAGAAAGGCAAGACGCGAGAGGCGUAAUUUAUUGCGAAAGUCAAUGAUUAAUUGUUCUAACUCCUCCUAGAGUAAGUGAUUGAAGGAGUGUCUGUUUUGGCCUGAGAAAUUAUGUUGGCGGCAGACAACAUAAAUUUGGAGAAAAACAGGGACCGCCUUCCAGACUUUCGUUGAUUGGGUCGAGAGUGUUUAUGUUUCAUCUGACCCCGAUCUGUUCCUUUCAGCUAUGUAUCGUCGCCGAGGUCGACCGUCGUUACGGGAGCGUGCCCAGUUGUCGCAGGAUCGUGCGGGACCUUCCGAGAUGCCUGAGCAUGCGGAGCCGAGUGCCCAACGGGAGCAGAGUGUUUGACCGGAGACGAGUACAUCCCCGGAUUUGAGUGCACAGUUAGCCGCCCUGACAGAGGUGACGAGGCGGCAGAGGAAGUUGUUGGAGAGGAUAUGCAUGAGGCUAGCUUCGCCCCAGAGUUCAGCACCGAGGGCACCAACGUCGUCUGUUCCACCUUCGACUACCCCAGUGACAGCACCAGCUGCAGCAGUCCCUCCGCCAGCAGCAGUUCCAGUAGCGCCAGUUGCGCCUGCUAGGGGGCCAGUACAGUUGACAGAGGCCGAGCAGGAGCGGUGGACGGAGAGGUUGGCUCGUUUUCGCCGUUUUGAUCCACCGAUUUUUGAUGGCAGUUGCAUUGAGGCCUGGGUUGUUGAGGGAUGGGUCAGUGCGAUAGAGAAGUUAUUUGAGUAUCGGUUCAUUCCUGAAGGGGAGUAGGUGUCUUUGGGAGUCCAUUGCUUGGCAGGUGAUGCCCACGCCUGGUGGAGGAGAGUGAGGAGAGAGCAGGGACUGGUAGCGUUGCAGUUGAGAUCGGAUGAGUUCUGUGGAAUGCUGUUUGGAAUGUUCUUUCCCAACAGUGUGAAACAGAAGCUCGAGGAAGAUUUGAAAAGGAUUCAGCAGGGGGAUCGUCCAGUGCAGGAGUACAUUCAGGAGUUUACUCGACUCCUGAACUGUGUGCUAUUUGUGGCCAGGGACGAGGCACACUGGGUCUAUCUGUUUGAGCAGGGGCUGAGACCCGAUAUUUUCAGGUUGGCGCGGACGCAGAGGUCGAGGACUCUGGAUGCAUUCAUAGAGCAGGCCUUGUGGGUGGAGAGAGGUGAGAUGUCACUGCAGGAGAGAACUCAGGCCGUGGGGCAGAGUCAGGAUAGGAAGUGCCCAGUUCCAGACAAUGGUGGACAGUCGAGCAGCCGGCGUCCGCCGAGAUCUCCACGAUCGCGUUCUCAGAGUCGUGGGUUCUCGGAGCGUCAGCGUUCUGGGAGACCUCAGCAGCAGAGGCAGUCACAGGGGUUACCACCGUGCGUGAUAUGUAGGGGACCACACUGGGCCCGGCAGUGCGAGCAGCGUGAGGGUCGGUGUUUUGGAUAUGGACAGUCAUGGCACAUGAGGUCAGCUUGUCCCUGAGCAGUAUCACCAGCGCCAUCGACCGCUUCAGCAUCAUCAGCACCUCAGCAGUCUUUUGGAGCACCGCAGAGCUCCGCCAGGAGGACAGGGCAUCUCCGCCGUGUCAGGGUGAGCGGCGACAGUAGGCUCCGAGUGGCAGGGUCUAUGCAGCCUAGGUGGAGGAAUCUACAGCGGCCGACCAAGUGGUGGCAGGUAUCACUUUGAUUUCUGGCACUAGAGUUCGUACUCUCUUUGAUACCGGUGCAUCUCAUUCGUUUAUUAGCCGAGCAUUUGCAUUGUUGCAUGGUCUAGAGUUAGGAGCCUUGUCUCAGGCACGACAGGUGCAGAUCCCAGACCAUGUUUUACAGGUUGCGGAGUAUUGUUGGUCAUGUCCGGUGCAGUUAGAUUUGUGGAUCAUGCCCGCAGACCUGUUGGUUUUAGGGCAGCUGUAGGACUUCAACGUUGUGCUAGGUAUGGAUUGGUUAGCCCUGUACUUUGCUACGAUUGAUUGUGGAGCGAGGACAGUGACGUUCCGUGAGCCAGGCCAGGAGGAGUUUACUUUUAGAGGCUGCAGGAGUACACUGUUUGUCACUUGGAUAUCUUCGGGGAGGGCUCGACAGCUGAUGAGUAGAGGAUGUGUUACCUUUCUGGCGACUGUUGUUGAGGUACCUACGGCGGCGCCGGGACUCGAGGAUAUUCCUGUAGUCCGCGAGUUUCCAGAUGUGUUUCUCCUUGAGUUGACGACGAUACCGCCGGAGAGGGAGAUUGAGUUUGUGAUUGAUGUAGUUCCUGGAACUGCACCAAUCUCAAAGGUACCUUAUCGGAUGGCACCGGCAGAGCUGAGAGAGCUAAAGGCGCAGCUUCAGGAUCUGAUGGACAAGGGGUAUGUGAGACCCAGUAUGUCGCCUUGGGGAGCGCCGGUGUUAUUUGUAAAGAAGAAGGAUGGUUCACUCAUGUUAUAUGUGGAUUACCGGGAGCUGAAUAAAGUGACCAUAAAAAACAAGUAUCCACUGCCGCGCAUUGAUGAUUUAUUUGAUCAGUUGCAGGGAUCCUUCAUCUUCUCGAAGAUUGAUCUUCAGUCCGGUUACCACCAGCUGAGGGUGAGGGCCGAGGAUGUUUCCAAGACGACUUUUCGGACUCGGUACGGGCAUUAUAAGUUUACGGUCAUGCCUUUUGGAUUGAUGAAUGCCCCUGUCGCAUUCAUAGAUUUGAUGAACAGGGUGUUCAAGCCGUUCUUGGAUAGAUUUGUGGUAGUCUUCAUCGAUGACAUUCUGAUUUACUCCCGUAGUGAUGCCGAGCAUAAGGAGCACUUGGGGAUUAUGCUACAACUUCUGCGAGAGAAGAAGUUGUAUGCCAAGUUAGAGAAGUGCGAGUUCUGGUUACGGGAGGUUGCUUUCUUGGGCCAUGUGAUUUUUGCAGAGGAAGUGGCAGUAGACCCGAAGAAGAUUGAUGCUAUUCUGGAUUGGCCCAGACCGACGACGGUGACUGAGUUGCGGAGUUUUCUGGGACUAGCAGGAUAUUACCGUCGGUUUGUGGAGGGCUUUGCGAAGCUUUCCACACCCCUCACCCGCUUGACGCGGAAGGGGAUUCGAUUUGUUUGGAGUGACGACUGCCAGAGGAGCUUCGACGAGUUGAGACAGAGAUUGAUGACAGCUUCUAUCCUUGCCAUUUCUGUGAUGGGAAAGGAUUUAUGAUCUAUAGUGAUGCAUCGCACAACGGACUGGGUUGUGUGCUGAUGCAGCAUGGUAGGGUAAUUGCUUAUACUUCACAACAGUUUAAGGAUUAUGAGAAGAAUUACCCUACGCAUGAUUUGGAGCUUGCCGCUGUAGUCUAUGCUUGGAAGUUGUGGCGACAUUAUUUGUACGGCGAGCACUGCGAGGUUUUCACCGAUCAUAAAAGUCUCAAGUAUCUAUUCACUCAAAAGGAAUUGAAUCUGAGGCAGCGUCGGUGGCUAGAGCUACUGAAGGACUAUGACAUUAGUAUUCAGUAUCACCCCAGCAGGGCGAAUGUAGUGGCAGAUGCGUUGAGCAUGAGGGCAGCGCAGAGUUUGAGCUUGUUGAUCACUCAGCAGAGACUGCUACUUGAGGAGCUACAGCGGCUGAGGCUUCAGGUGGUGUCCCCUGGGUCUACCGCAAGACUGAUAUCUCUUGUCUUGCAGCCCACUCUGUUGGAUAGGAUCCGGGAGAAAUAGAGUGGAAAUUCGCAUUUGUUGAGGAUUUGAGAGCAGUUAAUUAGGGGACAGGCCGAGGGUUUUGCUUUGGACAGUUCGGGAGCACUGCGGUACAGGGACCGACUGUGUGUGCCUGUAGAUUUAGAGAUCCGAGAGGACAUCUUGAGGGAGGCUCAUUGUUCGCCUUAUACGGUUCACCCUGGGGGAACCAAGAUGUAUAAGGACUUGAAGGCACAGUUUUGGUGGAAUGGGAUGAAGAGGGGCAUUGGCAGAUUUGUAGCUCAGUGUCUAACUUGUCAACAGGUAAAGGUUGAGCAUCAUGUACCUGCUGGCAAGCUUCAGAGUCUGUCAGUGCCCGAGUGGAAAUAGGAACAGAUCACGAUGGAUUUCAUUGUGGGGUUGCCUAGAGCACAGGGUGGUUUCGAUGCGAUUUGGGUGAUAGUGGACAGACUGACCAACUCUGCUCAGUUCCUACCAGUUCAGACCACCUGGUCCAGAGAGAGACUCGCGCAGCUUUAUUUGGAUGAGAUCGUCAGGCUACAUGGUGUGCCAGUAUCGAUCGUAUCAGACCGAGACCCGAGGUUUGUGUCGCAUUUCUGGAGGAGUUUACAGACAGCUUUGGGGACUCAGUUACAUUUCAGCACAGCAUUUCACCCACAGACAGAUGGUCAGUCAGAACGGACCAUUCAGACUCUAGAGAACAUGCUGAGAGCGUGUGUCCUGGACUUCGGAUGAGAGUGGUAUCGACACUUGAGAGUGGCAGAGUUUGCGUAUAACAACAGCUAUCAAACGAGCAUUCAGAUGGCUCCGUUUGAGGCGUUGUAUGGACGCAGGUGUCGAUUCCCGUUGUUUUGAAGUGAUGUGGGUGAGAGGAAGACAUUUGGGCCUGAGAUUUUGCUAGAGGCUGAGGAAAUGGUGAGAGUUGUUCGACGACACCUUUUGACAGCCCAGAGCCGCCAGAGAAGCUACGCCGAUACCAGGAGACGGGGCUUGGAGUUCUAGGUUGGAGAUCAUGUAUUUCUUAAAGUCUCACCGUCCAGAGGGAUUCACCGAUUUGGAGUGUGUGGAAAGCUCAGUCCACGUUUCGUUGGCCCUUUUGAGGUAUUGGAGCGAGUUGGACCAGUUGCUUACCGGAUUGCUCUACCACCCCGACUUGCUGGUAUUCAUAAUGUGUUCCACGUCUCGGCGCUGAGGAGAUAUGUUUUCGAUCCUUCUCACGUGAUUGACUUCACUCUACUAGAGAUUGGCGAGGAUCUGAGAUACGAGGAGCGACCGGUGCGGAUUCUUGCUCGUGAGACGAAAGAAUUGCGCAACCGGGUCAUCCCGUAUGUAAAGGUGCAGUGGAGUAAUCACGAGAAGAGGGAGGCGACUUGGGAGCCCGAAACUGUGAUGAGGGAGUCCGAUUCCGACCUGUUUGUUACGCCGUGUUGAGGUAUGUUUUAAGUUUCGAGGACAAAACUUUUUGUAGUGGGGAAGGAUGUAGUAUCCUUGUUUUAUUUUAUUUAUUUAUUUACUUUUUUGUAGUCGGUUGGUGAUGCAUGGGGGUGGCUUUGGAUGCCACGUGCACCCCCAUGCAUCCUUAUUUUGUAGCCUAUAUGGCUUUGAGAUGCAGAGGGAAAUUGUGAUUUACAAUUUCUCUCUCUCUCUAGUUUGAAAGGGAGAACUCGUGGAGGCUAUAGUGGAGCUUGGAGUGACGUCAACUUCGCGCCGGCGAGCCGUUGGAGCGUGCGUGCGUCGUGGUAGUGCCGUUGGGAGGCCGAGCAUGCGCGAAAAUUUCUUCUCCUAUCGACUUCUCGCUAUUUUGAAUUAGCUUUUGAGGUGGGUUUAUCAUCGGAUUUCUACUCCUAUAGUCUCGUUGGUCGACAUAUAUAAUUAGUGUAUAUUCGUCGUUAUUGUUUUUAGCUCAAAUUCAUAGUUAUGCAUGUUUUAGACAUAUGAAUUGAAUUUGGAACAUGUUAUUAAGUGUUAAUAAUUAUACAUGUUGGACUUGGAUAUGACAUAGGAGAAAACCAGCGUUCGGGACCUGUCAUAUGUUUAAACUACCUGAUUUAGCUCUAGGAGCCGUUGUAUUUUGUACUGUCGCAGUAUCCUUGUGGUGAGUAUACUAGGUAGUUUAGAUUACUAUUACGCUCGUGCUGGGACGCCGAGCCGAUUUUUACAGUAGUAUUUAUAUUGUUCCGGACUAGUGGGUGCCGUGGUGGUUGACGGCGGAACCGGAUUUGAUUGCUUUGAUAUCAGAUUGUGCCGAGAGUACGUGACUAGUUGGUUGGUAGUCCAGUUGGACCUGUUUACUUGACUUUAGCCUGUGAGAGGCUGGUUGAGCUCGGCAGAGAUACGCUUGCAUACUCGGUUGGGUCACGCCCACGAGUGCCGCUCCGAAGUCUGGCUUUGUGCUUUCGCGUUGAUGUCACUGACUAGUUUUGCUAUCCACGGACUGUUUUACGUGGAGGUAGCGUGGCUUAGACAGGCGGGACGGGUGUGUUCACAGUCCCCGAGACGGGUGUAUCAUAGUCCCUGAAUAGAUUGGGUCAGCAUUAAUAUUUUUACUACAGAUAAUUAGGGUAGAGCAUGAUAGUAUAGUGAUAUUUAACUGUAAAUGUUUCCAGCUUUCCUACUAUCCCAGCUCCUUUCUGUAGACUUAGUGGGUGGACCGAUGAUGUUGAGGGCGGUACCCACUGAGGACUACUUAUUUUUACAGUAGUUCUCACACCCAGUUGUUACCACUGUUUUGCAAAGCCACCGGUUUCAGUUGCUGCGCCUUCCGAGGCUGAUCGAGGCAAGGGCGUCGCGAGUUAGAGCCCUACCUGACUAGUUGCUGAGAUAGAGAAUCCACCACUGUAGGUAGUUUCGAUUUAUUUUGUUGAGUUCAUGUACAUACAGUUGUUAUAACUCGCUGGAGCGAGUACCUUUGUAUAGCGUUUUGUUGUAUGUAUGUGAGACUUGUUUUAUUCUACCUGUUUGGUUUCUUUACAGCUCUAUACUACUGGUUGUAGUAUUGUAUAUUUUCAGUUACCGACACGCUUCGUAUACAAGAAAAAUUCUUUGUAUACGGCGGAUUUGUCGAC